rnacentral:rRNA from 1 species
GACGAACGCUGGCGGCGUGCUUAACACAUGCAAGUCGAACGGUGAACCAGAGCUUGCUCUGGGGAUCAGUGGCGAACGGGUGAGUAACACGUGGGCAACCUGCCCCAGACUCUGGGAUAACCUCGGGAAACCGAUGCUAAUACCGGAUACGACCACUUCGGACAUCCGACGGUGGUGGAAAGUUUUUCGGUCUGGGAUGGGCCCGCGGCCUAUCAGCUAGUUGGUGGGGUAAUGGCCUACCAAGGCGACGACGGGUAGUCGGCCUGAGAGGGCGACCGGCCACACUGGAACUGAGACACGGUCCAGACUCCUACGGGAGGCAGCAGUGGGGAAUAUUGCACAAAUGGGCGAAAGCCUGAUGCAGCGACGCCGCGUGAGGGACGACGGCCUUCGGUUGGUUAAACCGUCUUUCUAGCAGGACGAAGCGAAAGUAGACUGUACCUGCAGAAGAAGACACCGGCUAACUACGUGCCAGCA